CAAAUGUCCUGAGGUGGGGAGGGACAAGCUUCUCAAGGACCAGUAAGGAGAUCAGCUCACUGCUGGAACAGAGUGGAGGCAGAGUGUGGAGGUCAGUAAGUGAACUUGGUGCAGGGAAGGUCACACAGGACCUCAUGAACCAUAGAGAGGAGUGCGGUUUCUGUUCUCAUCAUUGAUGUAUUUUUAGCAGGGGUAGGUCCACCAUCUGAUUCUUGGGUGUUGUUUGGAGGAUGGGCAGUUGGGGGGAUGGUAAAGUGGAUCUUUGAUCUCAGGUCUCUAUAAUACAUCAUUUAACAUUCAAGAGGUGUCUGUUGAGUUCUGAGCAAGUAUAGACUUUAUGUGCAGCGUAUUUUCAUCUGUGUACAUAAGAUGUACCUAUGUGCCUUUAUAUGUGGAGAAUAUCAUUAGAAGGAGACAUUAAAAAAGUGGGGAGGGGAACAGAGAUUUUCAAGUGAGGGAGAGACUGUCUUUUCAUACUUUGUGCUGUUUGAAUUUAAAAAAAUGUGGUUUUGAUUAUCAUUAAUACAGUUAAAAACUCUUUAAUCUAAAAAAAAAAACCGGAUCGUUUGAUGCAGGGUGGAGGUGUGUUUGUGUGUGGAGGGGAGGUUGGUGCAAUCUGGGGAAGGGUGGGGUGAGGCCUCAGAAGGACAUGGACCCAAGGAAGGGAGAGGAGGGGCCAGGCUUAAGAAAUUCUAUAAGUCAACAGGAUGUGGGGCUGUGGAGUGGGCAGGGCCAAGGUGAUUCUGAGGUUUGCAGUCUGAAGAUGCUGUAACCUAGAUGUGAGGCCCAGAAAGCCCUACUUCCUGUAAAUGGGGUGACCGCCAUGGCAGUGGGGCCCUGGAAUUGUACCCCAAAAUGUCAGGGGGCAGGCAGCCUGCAUGGUGAGUUCAAGGAGAGAGGAAGGAGGUGGAAGCCCCAAUUCCUCUUCGGCACCAGGAAAUGCCCAGUUGAUGAGCCCGACUGAGCUCAUCCAGCGCCUCGGACACUUAAACAUACUGGCUGUCUCAGGUGCGCUCUGUUCGGUAUACCCCUGCCAUGGACGAGUCUGGCAAACAGCUCACCCAGGUGACUGAGGGAGAGGUUCAGGUCCUGGAUGAAGAUGUGGACGGAGCCUUUGGGGAUCCAGACGACUUCCUCAUACCCUGGACGGUGGAGCUCAGAUGUCGCCCACUUGACCCUUCCCCCACACCUUCCUACCUCCCCCAUUCCUGGCCCUUGAUGAUAACAGCUAACCAUUACUGCACUAAGUGCUUCCAGGGACAUCACACUGCGUCCCCAGCUCUGGCCCUGUGAUGUAGAUGUGUCAUCACGCCCAUUUUACAGACAACAAGACUGAAGCUCAGAGAAGCUAAGCAACUUGCCCAGGCGCUGCCGUCACCACCGCAAACCCGGCACUUGUCCUCUCUCAGGAGUCCCCUCCACCUUGCACUCGCCGCUGACGCAAAUGUCCACCGUGUCGGGGCGGCAGGGCGUCCCGUCCACCACGGCCGCCGCUCUCUCCGUGUAGAAAUUGAAGCCUUCGGCCAGGCAUAAGCUGUCCAGGGACUUCCCGGCAUGACUCGAGUCCUGGAAAAGUUUGGCAACCUGACCUCCAAGAAACAAGAGAGACCGAGUCUUAAGAGGGGCCCAGAGCAAGAGACAAAAAGCGAAACAAUGGCAACAACUCUCCUUCACCAAGUAUCUCCUGUGUGCCGGGCCUCGGGCUAAGCCUGCUGUGCAGAUCUUCGCACGAGUAGAUCCAAUUAUCAUUUCCGUUUUACAGAGGGGCAGAUUGACACACAGAGAGAUUAGGACACACAGCGGGUAAGGUGCCACAAGUGGGCUUCGUGUCUGGGUAAGGCUGCCUACAAAGCGCUGGUUGCUUACCAGUACAUUUCUUUCUGACUCACCCUCAUUCGGCUUGUCUAUUUGUCCUCCAUCCCUACCCACCCCUGCAGCAGCCUCAAGUGUCUCUGCCCAGAGGCGGCCUGAGGGAGUACACAUUUGGUCUCAUUCCACGGCUGUCUGAAGCAGAUGCUUACGCAGCCCCUACCACGUGCCGGGUACUCUUCCAUACACUAUGUCGAUUCACCGCAACCACCUGCGCCUUGUGAAGGAGGUACUAUUACUAUCCCCAUUUUAUGGGUGGGUAAACCGAGGCACAGAGGGGCAGUGACUGGUCCAAGGGCACACGGCUAAAAAGCAGCAGAGCCGAGAUUUCGGCCGGGCCCUGCAGGCUGCCGGGUUCACGCUCCUGGCCGCCCAGCGAGGCUGCUUCUCCUCAUUCCUUGCCAGACACCGGCCACCCUUCUCACCCCGCCCCCUCCAUUCGGGUUCCCUGACCUCAGGAGGCCGGCUCCAGGUCCCGGGGCUCUGCGGCCAGGGAGGGGGAGGCACUUACAAUGUUCAUGAUGGCCAGCACGUACUGUUCCACGUCUCGGCGCCCGUGGUAGGCCACCAUCAUCUUGUCAGCCACCACCAGGGUCUCCACGUAGCGCUCUCGGCUGACCGAGCGCUUCAGGCCUGGCUGGCCACGCUCAGUCUCAUUCCCCAGGGGCCUGGCAGGUGGCGGCUUCAGCGUGCGCAGCCACCACGGCCGCCCCUUCCACGGCUUCUCGUCUGGAUGGACAAUUUCUGGUCAUUCUACUGCCUACUCUUAUGUCCACGACCGACCCUGUCUGGCGGCGCAUCUGCCCCCUAGGCCGUCACACCACUCAUGCUUCGGCUACUGGGUGUCCUGGUUGUGCAACGUCUGGCUGUACAACAGUCCGCUACCCAGAUGAUGGGCUCCACGCCGUCACACUGGUUGGUUUGCACAGCCGCCCCGGGCCCCACGACAACCAGCAAGACCGCGCCACUUCCUGAAAAUUCCAUUGCCCAAAUGUAGGCGUGGAGCCGCCCGCCUCAGCAUGGGAACGUGUGCCAGUGGGACUCUGUGGCCCUCCGACCAUGCCACGUUCUUGUCAACGCACUGCCCAGCUGGGCAGCUGGAGGACACCCCACUGCCGGGGGGUCUAACUGCCCAACCAGUCUCACUGGCCGUCCGACUGUGAAACUACCCACCCUUCCGUUCGUACAACCGGCUGUGGUUUUAGGUCCCACUCCCAGAUGGUUGGAUUGCACACCUCAUGUCACAUCCCAGGGCUCCGAACUUGUCCCUGCAGCUGAACGACGGCCCUUAUAAAUAUCUAUCUCAUCCAGCUUUCUUAUCCCCCCACCCCCUGCACGUCUGAUCAGACCCCUGUCCUCCUGCAACUCUGGUUGUAAAUCGGACCUUCUGAACAGGGUUUGCACUGUA